rnacentral:rRNA from 1 species
GAUGAACGCUGGCGGCGUGCCUAAUACAUGCAAGUCGAGCGGACGGACGAGAAGCUUGCUUCUCUGAUGUUAGCGGCGGACGGGUAAGUAACACGUGGAUAACCUACCUAUAAGACUGGGAUAACUUCGGGAAACCGGAGCUAAUACCGGAUAAUAUUUUGAACCGCAUGGUUCAAAAGUGAAAGACGGUCUUGCUGUCACUUAUAGAUGGAUCCGCGCUGCAUUAGCUAGUUGGUAAGGUAACGGCUUACCAAGGCAACGAUGCAUAGCCGACCUGAGAGGGUGAUCGGCCACACUAGAACUGAGACACGGUCCAGACUCCUACGGGAGGCAGCAGUAGGGAAUCUUCCGCAAUGGGCGAAAGCCUGACGGAGCAACGCCGCGUGAGUGAUGAAGGUCUUCGGAUCGUAAAACUCUGUUAUUAGGGAAGAACAUAUGUGUAAGUAACUGUGCACAUCUUGACGGUACCUAAUCAGAAAGCCACGGCUAACUACGUG